GGGAAAGGGGGGGGGGCAAACAAGGAAUAGAUACCCUGGUUGUCCACGCCGUAAAAGAAGAAAAUUUGCCGUUGGGCAGUAUAGUGUUCGGUGGGGCAGAUAAAGCAUUAAACAUUCCGCCCGGGGAGUACGGUGGCACGAUUAUAAAACAAAAGAAAUUAGGGGGGGCCCCACCAACGGUGGAGCGUGUGGUUUUUUUUUAAGCAAAGCGCAAAACCCUUUCCCCUCCUUACAUUUGGGGUAAGGUCUUCGGAGAUGAUUUCUUUCAUUUGGGAAGUCCCCAAAACAGGUGCCGCAGGGGUGUCCUCAUCUUGUGUUGUGAGAUGGGGUUAAAUCUCCCACAAAGAGCACCCCCCUCCCCUUUAUUCCCCCACAUUUAGUUGGGCACUUUAAGGGGACUGCCGGUGAUAAACCGAGGGAAGGGGGGGGAGGAGUUAAAUUCCUCAUGCCCUUUAGGCGUGGGGUUACACACUUGUUAAAAGGGUGGUAACAGGGGUCAGCGAGACAGGGGGUUGGACUAAUUUUCCAAAAGCCAUCUCAGUUCGGAUUGCAUUCUGCAACUCGAUUGCAUGAAGUUGGAAUCGCUAGUAAUCGCAGAAUCAGCAAUGUUGCGGUGAAUAC
rnacentral:rRNA from 1 species